rnacentral:rRNA from 1 species
AUUGAACGCUGGCGGCAGGCCUAACACAUGCAAGUCGAGCGGUAGCACAGAGAGCUUGCUCUCGGGUGACGAGCGGCGGACGGGUGAGUAAUGUCUGGGAAACUGCCUGAUGGAGGGGGAUAACUACUGGAAACGGUAGCUAAUACCGCAUAACGUCGCAAGACCAAAGUGGGGGACCUUCGGGCCUCAUGCCAUCAGAUGUGCCCAGAUGGGAUUAGCUAGUAGGUGGGGUAAUGGCUCACCUAGGCGACGAUCCCUAGCUGGUCUGAGAGGAUGACCAGCCACACUGGAACUGAGACACGGUCCAGACUCCUACGGGAGGCAGCAGUGGGGAAUAUUGCACAAUGGGCGCAAGCCUGAUGCAGCCAUGCCGCGUGUGUGAAGAAGGCCUUCGGGUUGUAAAGCACUUUCAGCGGGGAGGAAGGCGAUAAGGUUAAUAACCUCCUCGAUUGACGUUACCCGCAGAAGAAGCACCGGCUAACUCCGUGCCAGCAGCCGCGGUAAUACGGAGGGUGCAAGCGUUAAUCGGAAUUACUGGGCGUAAAGCGCACGCAGGCGGUCUGUCAAGUCGGAUGUGAAAUCCCCGGGCUCAACCUGGGAACUGCAUUCGAAACUGGCAGGCUAGAGUCUUGUAGAGGGGGGUAGAAUUCCAGGUGUAGCGGUGAAAUGCGUAGAGAUCUGGAGGAAUACCGGUGGCGAAGGCGGCCCCCUGGACAAAGACUGACGCUCAGGUGCGAAAGCGUGGGGAGCAAACAGGAUUAGAUACCCUGGUAGUCCACGCCGUAAACGAUGUCGAUUUGGAGGUUGUGCCCUUGAGGCGUGGCUUCCGGAGCUAACGCGUUAAAUCGACCGCCUGGGGAGUACGGCCGCAAGGUUAAAACUCAAAUGAAUUGACGGGGGCCCGCACAAGCGGUGGAGCAUGUGGUUUAAUUCGAUGCAACGCGAAGAACCUUACCUGGUCUUGACAUCCACAGAACUUUCCAGAGAUGGAUUGGUGCCUUCGGGAACUGUGAGACAGGUGCUGCAUGGCUGUCGUCAGCUCGUGUUGUGAAAUGUUGGGUUAAGUCCCGCAACGAGCGCAACCCUUAUCCUUUGUUGCCAGCGGUCCGGCCGGGAACUCAAAGGAGACUGCCAGUGAUAAACUGGAGGAAGGUGGGGAUGACGUCAAGUCAUCAUGGCCCUUACGACCAGGGCUACACACGUGCUACAAUGGCAUAUACAAAGAGAAGCGACCUCGCGAGAGCAAGCGGACCUCAUAAAGUAUGUCGUAGUCCGGAUUGGAGUCUGCAACUCGACUCCAUGAAGUCGGAAUCGCUAGUAAUCGUAGAUCAGAAUGCUACGGUGAAUACGUUCCCGGGCCU